CCUCCCCCGCAACCUCAGCUCGCUGCCGCCCGUGCAAUGCUCUGGGCAGCGGGGCUCUUGCAGAGCUGCAGCCUGUCCUGGUGCUUUGGGCUGUGCAGUGUUAGCGCCGCCAGCCACCGGUGCUCCAGGCAGCGUGAUUGGGAAACUGAGGCACAAAGAAGUGAAUUAUAGCUAGGUGCAAUGCAAUCUUUCCUUCACAACUGUGCCAAAACAUUUCAGUCCUGACUUUAACUGCCCUCCCCAUCUCCAGCUACCCUUCACCAGCAAUGAUGCAGUGUCCUGUACAUGGACGAAGAGCAAGAAGGGCCUAGGGUGAGACCAAGAAACUCAUUUCACUUAUGGCCUGAAAUGCAUUUCUUAACCAGAGGUGAUAGAAGAGGUAGCAAGACUAUCAGAUGCCCCAGAAAACACCAAAGAAUAACAGCCUUCCAGCAUCUCCUCAAGACAACAGCAGAUAGAUGGGACUCAAUGCGUAAUGUGCAGAGGUGUAUGUGCUCAGAAAAGAAAUGGUUUUAUUUAUCCUUAAUGCAAUGGUAAAAAACCCAUAAUGUAUUUGUGUAUUAGAAAAGACAGCUAAUGUCCAUAUACUUAAUUUCAAUAAUGUAAUCACAAUAUAAUUUGUGUUUCAUUUGUACAAGGUGGUAAGGACCAUUUGUUGACAGAGACAUACCUUUAUUCCCCCCCUUCCCGCCCCAUAACAGAUCACAGAACUCUUCAACAUUCCCCCAAAGUAUGCCACAUUGUACAUAGCAGAAUGUGAUCCUGCAAUGAGAGACCGUACAUACUUACCAGGGAGCACAACUAAUGUUGCUGUGGGAGUUUUAUUUCUGAAUUUCCUACGUGUCUUUCAUGUCGAGGGCAGCGAACCAGUAUCCAAAGCCAAAGCCACUCACGCCAGUAUACAUUUCUGGUAUUGUGUGGCUAGAAAUGAUCAGGCAGCUUUGGUUUAAAGCACCAAACUUUAAGAGUUGUAGCAUGCACUCAUUAGUAUUCUUGUCUGUUAGUCCUAAGCCUGGGAGUAUUCAUGUUAAAGUUUAAAAGCCCAUUAAGCUUUUGUCAGAAGUAAAAUAAAUGCAUUGUUAUGACUGUACUCAAGCUAC